rnacentral:rRNA from 1 species
AUGGAUAAGCCGACACCUAAUAAGGAUCAGGAGAACAACAAAUAUGCUAAGAGACAACCUUUUGGGGUUAAGGAUAUAAACAACAACAGGGCUUAUGAGGCCGAAGAGAGCUCGAGUGGUGUCUUUUGGUUCUUGAAGACCUGCACGUUCCUGGUGGAGUAG